rnacentral:sRNA from 1 species
ACUCUUUAGCGUAUGGGCUUUAGUUAAAUAGCCUUGUCGGGCGUUUCGCCAGACACUAACUUAUUGUUUAGA